CGCCCUUGAGUUUGAUCAUGGCUCAGGAUGAACGCUAGCGGCAGGCCUAAUACAUGCAAGUCGGACGGGAUUGGAGAGCUUGCUUUCCAUGAGAGUGGCGCACGGGUGCGUAACACGUAUGUAACCUACCUUUAUCAGGGGGAUAGCCUCUCGAAAGAGAGAUUAAGCCCGCAUAAAAUCACAGUGCAGCAUUGCAUAAUGAUCAAAUAUUUAUAGGAUAAAGAUGGGCAUGCGGAACAUUAGCUAGUUGGUAAGGUAACGGCUUACCAAGGCUACGAUGUUUAGGGGAUCUGAGAGGAUGACCCCCCACACUGGUACUGAGACACGGACCAGACUCCUACGGGAGGCAGCAGUAAGGAAUAUUGGUCAAUGGGCGGAAGCCUGAACCAGCCAUGCCGUUGUUUAGGAAGACGGCCCUACGGGUUGUAAACUGCUUUUGUACCGGAAUAAACCCCAAUUCGUGAAUUGGGCUGAAUGUACGGUAAGAAUAAGGAUCGGCUAACUCCGUGCCAGCAGCCGCGGUAA
rnacentral:rRNA from 1 species